AUGGAGGUCAUGUACUUGGAGGCAUGUGAUGGCCACCCUUUGUGUGGGAUCCAGCAGCUGUGUCCCAUUAUAGAGACCUACAACUGCUCUUUAGAUGGAAAAACACAACCAGCCCUGUCAGAUGGGUGGACGCCCUGGAUCCCAGGGCCCUUCUGUAGGACAGUUCAGAGGAGCCUAUGCAUGCUGGGGCCUAGAAAAAGACUCCUGUGUAGAUACAUUUGGGGACAGUCCAAUGACUUGUUUACUUCUACGCUCAGUGCUCUGAGCAUCCUGUGGAAGCACCCUACACUGCAGUCUGGAAAGUGGCUCCUUAGGCAUGCGAAGGUCUACUUCAGAAAUGACAAAAAGGAAAAAGCAGUUUUCAAUAGGCAGCUGGGUCCUGUAUGGAUGGAGACAAUACACCAAAAGAGGACAGCUUGACUGUAUGAUAUGGCAGAAUAGUAUCUCAGGGAGUAUCGGAAAGAAGUCAACUUGCUGCAUUAAUAGGGGCUCCGUGUCCCACUGUGCUGACCUCAAGCUUCAGGUAAGGGAGAAGCGUGGUGAAAGGAGAUGCUGGUCUGCUCCAGGUGAGGAUUCUGGCAACUCCUUAGUGUUGCUACGGUACUUUUCAAGUAAAGAUACUUCUGAAACCUGCUAGGGAAGUCUGGUCGAUUUAUCGGUUAAUUGAGGGACAUUGUUUUCUGGUUGCAGGUUGAUCCACAUUUUGGAUUCUUCCAAUGUCUGCAAGACUUUACCAAGUAGCUUGAUCAAACAGUUUUCAGACCGAUGGGUCUCUUCAGUCUGUUUGUUCUGAUUACUGGCUUUUCUUUACAUCCAGUGUUUACUGUUGGUUCAGCUUGGAUGUCUGAAACUUCUAAAGCAGAACAAUCAGUGGUGGAUAAUGAGAGUCACAAAUAUUCCUGUUCCCGUGUGAGCAGGGGCAAUGGAGUAUUCACAUAAAACAUUCCUACAAAUAAAUCUCUAUUUUUUAACUACA
rnacentral:lncRNA from 1 species